rnacentral:rRNA from 1 species
GCUUGUCUCAAAGAUUAAGCCAUGCAUGUCUAAGUAUAAGCAUUAUACAGUGAAACUGCGAAUGGCUCAUUAUAUCAGUUAUAGUUUAUUUGAUAGUCCCUGCUAUUUGGAUAACCGUAGUAAUUCUAGAGCUAAUACAUGCACCAAGCAGCCCUCUGGGCUCUCUGGUGAUUCAUGAUAACUUCUCGAAUCGCAUGGCCUUGCGCCGGCGAUGGUUCAUUCAAAUUUCUUCCCUAUCAACUUUCGAUGUUUGGGUAGUGGCCAAACAUGGUUGCAACGGGUAACGGAGGGUUAGGGCUCGACCCCGGAGAAGGAGCCUGAGAAACGGCUACUACAUCCAAGGAAGGCAGCAGG